rnacentral:rRNA from 1 species
GUGGAUUAGAUACCCCGGUAGUCCACGCCGUAAACGAUGUCAACUAGCCGUUGGAAUCCUUGAGAUUUUAGUGGCGCAGCUAACGCAUUAAGUUGACCGCCUGGGGAGUACGGCCGCAAGGUUAAAACUCAAAUGAAUUGACGGGGGCCCGCACAAGCGGUGGAGCAUGUGGUUUAAUUCGAAGCAACGCGAAGAACCUUACCUGGCCUUGACAUGCUGAGAACUUUCCAGAGAUGGAUUGGUGCCUUCGGGAACUCAGACACAGGUGCUGCACGGCCGUCGUCAGCU